rnacentral:rRNA from 1 species
WUAAGCAUAUCACUAAGCGGAGGAGAAGAAAACAACCGUGAUGCCCCUAGUAAUGGCGAAUGAAGCGGGCAGAGCUCACGCCGCCAAUCUGGAGGCCCUCGCGGCCCCCCGAAUUGUAGUCUAGAAAGGCGCCAUCGGCCGCGUCCGUCGCUAAAAUCCCUUGGAACAGGGUAUCGGAGAAGGUGAGAAUCCUGUGACGUGGCGGAUCGCGGCCGCACGAUGCGCUCUUGCAGAGUCGGGUUGCUUGGGAUUGCAGCUUGAAUUGGGAGGUAAAUUCCUUCUAAAGCUAAAUACUGCAGCGAGACCGAUAGCGAACAAGUACCGUGAGGGAAAGAUGCAAAGAACUUUGAAAAGAGAGUUAAAGAGUGCUUGAAACCGACAAGGGGAAACCCGGUUGUGCCCGGUGUCGUWYCGUCGACUCAGCCGCCUUUUUGGGCGGUGCAUUUCUACGGCACGGGUCAGGCGCCUCUCUGCGGGUGGCACACGGUCUUGGUAGGUCUUCGGAGAGCCAAGUUUUCGCCACGCGCGGGGCGCCGCCUGACGUAACGGGCACCACCGACCCGUCUUGAA